CGGUAGAGAGAAGCUUGCUUCUCUUGAGAGCGGCGGACGGGUGAUUAAACCCUAGGAAUCUGCCUGGUAGUGGGGGAUAACGUUCGGAAACGGACGCUAAUACCGCAUACGUCCUACGGGAGAAAGCAGGGGACCUUCGGGCCUUGCGCUAUCAGAUGAGCCUAGGUCGGAUUAACUAGUUGGUGAGGUAAUGGCUCACCAAGGCGACGAUCCGUAACUGGUCUGAGAGGAUGAUCAGUCACACUGGAACUGAGACACGGUCCA
rnacentral:rRNA from 1 species